AACGAACGCUGGCGGCAGGCCUAACACAUGCAAGUCGAACGAAAUCUUCGUUCUUAGUGGCGCACGGGUGAGUAACACGUUGGAACAUACCUUACGCUCGGGGAUAACAUCGGUAAACUGAUGCUAAUACCGCUUAUGCCCUACGGGGGAAAGAUUCAUCGGCGAACGAUUUGCCCGCGUCCGCUUAGCUGGUUGGUGAGGUAAUCGCUCACCAAGGCUGCGGUCGGUGGCUGGUCGGAGAGGAGGACCAGCCACACUGGGACUGCGGCACGGCCCAGACUCCGACGGAGGGGAGGGGAAGGGAAUACUAGGGGAUGAACGCAAGUGUAGUCCAGCCGUGCGGCGUGUGUGAUGAAGGGGUUAGGGUUGUAAAGCUCGUUCACACGCGACGAAGAUGACGGUAGUGGGAGAAGAAGCCCCGGCUAACUUCGUG
rnacentral:rRNA from 1 species